rnacentral:rRNA from 1 species
GAGUUUGAUCGUGGCUCAGGACGAACGCUGGCGGUGUGCUUCACACAUGCAAGUCGAACGGGGUAGCAAUACCCAGUGGCGGACGGGUGAGUAACACGUGGGAAUCUACCAUAAGGUGGGGAAUAACAGGCCGAAAGGUCUGCUAAUGCCGCAUAUGUAGGCAUCUCGACAGAGGUGUUUAUGAAAGGAGUAAUCCGCCUUUUGAUGAGCCCGCGUCCGAUUAGCUAGUUGGUAGGGUAAAAGCCUACCAAGGCGACGAUCGGUAGGUGGUCUGAGAGGAUGAUCACCCACAAUGGGACUGAGACACGGCCCAUACUCCUACGGGAGGCAGCAGUGGGGAAUUUUACGCAAUGGGGGAAACCCUGACGUAGCGACACCGCGUGAGCGAAGAAGCCCUUUGGGGUGUAAAGCUCUGUCAACAGGAACGAAAUCAAUGACGGUACCUGUGGAGGAAGCAUCGGCUAACUACGUGCCAGCAGCCGCCGU